ACGGGUACGGGGUGUUAGGGCACGACACCGGAGAGGGAGCCUGAGAAACGGCUACCACAUCCAAGGAAGGCAGCAGGCGCGCAAAUUACCCAAUCCCGACACGGGGAGGUAGUGACAAUAAAUAACAAUACAGGGUUCUUUUGGAUCUUGUAAUUGGAAUGAGUACAAUUUAAAUCUCUUAACGAGGAACAAUUGGAGGGCAAGUCUGGUGCCAGCAGCCGCGGUAAUUCCAGCUCCAAUAGCGUAUAUUAAAGUUGUUGCAGUUAAAAAGCUCGUAGUUGAAUUUCGGGAUCAAUAUUUCGGUCAUGCCGUUGGUAUGCACUGUUAUCAUUGAUUUCUCACCUUCUAAAGAACCGUAAUGCCAUUAAUUUGGUGUUACGGGGAAUUAGGACUGUUACCUUGAAAAAAUUAGAGUGUUUAAAGCAGGCUCACGCUUGAAUACAUUAGCAUGGAAUAAUGAAAUAGGACAUCCGAUUCUAUUUUGUUGGUUUCUAGGAUCGAUGUAAUGAUUAAUAGGGAUAGUUGGGGGCAUUAGUAUUCAAUUGUCAGAGGUGAAAUUCUUGGAUUUAUUGAAGACUAACUACUGCGAAAGCAUUUGCCAAGGAUGUUUUCAUUAAUCAAGAACGAAAGUUAGGGGAUCGAAGACGAUCAGAUACCGUCGUAGUCUUAACCAUAAACUAUGCCGACUAGGGAUCGGAUGAUGUUAAUUUUUUAAUGACUCAUUCGGCGCCUUACGGGAAACCAAAGUGUUUGGGUGG
rnacentral:rRNA from 1 species